rnacentral:lncRNA from 1 species
AAAGCAGAAAGCAAACAGCAAAAAAAGAAAAUUAUAUAUAAAAAAAAAAGUAUGGAUAUUUUUAAAUUCAAAAUAUGGACAUUGAAAAUAUGCUUGGUUCAAGGUGCUUGAUUCGACGGUUUUUUUUUGUUUUUGUUUUUGGUUGGUCUUUUCUUCUUUUUUUUUAACCUCCCGGACAACGUGUUUUGUGAAACUUGUUUGUAGCGUCAAUCAAUGAAUGCUAUUAUACCCAAAUCGCUUUUAUUUCCUGGGCGAAUGAAAACAGAUUCGGAUAUAUCUGCAAUGCAAAUGAACAGCUGAAGAGAUAAAAAAGACAACUAAACAUAGCAGACUUACAGACAGACAAACAGACACACACACACACAUAUAUAUAUAUAUAUAUAUAUACACACACAUACACACAAGCACGCAUACACACACAUAUAUAUAUACAUAUAUAUAUGUUUGUUUUUAUGUUUAGUUAUUAUGAAAACGAUAAUCUGAAGGCUUACUCUCUACUUGCGUAGAGUACAAAUUUAUUAUUCUUAAAUAAGAAAGUCCGACGAUGGCUUAGCGGGCCGAAACUUCGAAGUCACUGUCAACAAUAUUCUUGUUUAAGAACAAUACAGAUGCAUGUGUGUGUGUGAAUGUGUUAGAGAGAGAGGGGGAGAGAGAGAGAGGGAGAGUGAGUGAGAGUGUGUGUGUGUGUGUGUGAGAGAGAGAGAGAGAGUGUGUGUGUGUAUGGGCGUGUGUGCAUGUGUGUGUGCAGAAAAAGGAGAGAAAAAAAUUGUGCAUAUACACAUGCAUUUAACUGGAGAUUCAGAAACGAGCUUUGUGAAGCCUGCAACAUCAUCAUCAUCGAGUUUAAUUUUAUUUUAUUCUAAAAUAUAAUUCUGCAGAACGACACGUAUUUAACGCACAUAAAAAAAUACACGGAUAUGUUGAGAAGCACGCACAGAGAGGUACAUUUUUAGUAGAUAUAUAUAAAUAUAUAUAUAUAUAUAAAGAGAGACAGAGACAGAGAGAGAGUGAUGAAGAUACAUAUGCACACACAUCAUUCGUAUACUGACGAAUUCUCAUCACAGAGGCGCAGAUACGAAUGCACAGGGCCAAAGAUAGACACAUUCGUUUGUAUACGACUGCAAGAUUUUUUUUUUUUUUACGAGACCAAUAGCUGUCAUCUGUAAUUUCGGAUUUUGCUACAACGCAAACGACUUAUAAACGAAUCAUUAUAUAAACCAACGAAGCGAAAAACAAUACCAGCAGCUAGAUAGAGCAACGGCAGCAGCUGCAGCAGCAGCAUUAGUUGUAGCAGUACUAGCAUUAGUAAUAGUAGAAGCAACAGCAGCAGCAGCAGCAGUAGUAGUAGUAGUAGUAGUAAUAGUAGAAAUAGUGGAAAUAGUAGCGGUAGUAGUGGUGGCAGCAGCAAUAACAACAAUUACACAAAGCACAAUCUCAUCUGCUCAGAAUCAACGGCAUUUUAACGAUGUCAACAAUAUUUGUAACAGCUCUGUGUAACAACAACAAUAACAACAACAACAACAACAACAACAACAACAACUACAACAACAACAGCAAAAGCAAUUCUGCAGAACAAACGGCUCGAAAAUGGAAUGAAGAAAUCGUGUGUCAAGAAAUAAUGUGUUGAUAAUGUUUGUUAUUCUGGCUCAUUUCAACAAACGUUUACCUAAAGGAAAACCAAACGGAAGAAUGAGAUCGUAAAAAAAAAAAACAAUUUAAAAAAAAAAGAACAAGAAAAAAGAAAAAAAGGUAAAAAGAAAAAGAAAAAAAAGAAAGAAAGCAAGCAAGCAACAACAGCAACAACACAAACAAAAUGAAAACAAAAAUAUCCUCGCACAUAUAAUAAUGUCUGAAGUGUUCCUUUUACAAUUUUUGCCUUGAUAAUAUAUUUUCUUCUUAUCGUCUGCCUUUUUUUUUUCCUUCAUCAAAUUCAUAGUUACUAGAUUUAAGAGUGAAGUUAUUUCUCUUCAUCACCUCUACUCUCUCCUCCUCCUCCUCUUCCUCUUCCUCCGCUUCACUACUACUACUACUACUACUACUACUACUACUACUACUUGUUGUUGUUGCUGCUGCUGCUGCUGCGCGAUGGUGUCUUCUGGAUUUUAAUGUAAAGCAUAUAUACACGUACGCACGCACGCACGCAUACAUACACACACACACAAACGACGGUUCUCACACACAGGCGAGAGAGAGAGAGAGAGAGAGCAUUCACACAUUUUCCACACAAAAGCCUGCCGUGUAUAACACAUACAAUCACUGUUGGAUUUAAAACGAGAACCGAGAACUGAUAUUUUUGCUAGACACAAGCGUUGGCUCUCGAUGGACCAGCCGACACCCAGGACUAAAAAUAAGAAUGACAAAACACAAAGGUUAUCGUUGUUGCUUUGCCCUUUAUUUUAUAUCUUCAAAUCCGCACAUUCGAUGAUUUCAUCCUUUAUUCAGACACAUUGAUUACAGAACAAAAUAACCCCACGUUUCACAGUUAGGGGUGAAUGGCUUUCAAAUAGAUUUACUAUCACAUACGUUUGCUAGUUUACAUUCUCCAUUCUAUUCUUACACGCUUUUUUUUCUGCAUUUCUCCUUUACUCCAUUUCUUCCUUCCUCGCUUUCAGUGAAUCAGUCAAUCGAUAUAUAUUUACCUAUCAAUCAAUCAAUCAGUCAAUCAAUCUAUCUCGCUUUCCUUUUCUCUUUUUUUUCUCUUUCUUUCUUUCUUUCUUUCUUUCUUUCUUUCUUUCUUUCUUUCUACAUUGUGUCCUUCCUCUCCGCUGACUCUCCCAUUCACACGCGGUUUUCUACUCACAAUUGCGUGUGUGUGCAUCACACAUUUGUAAUCGUCACAUGUGUUGUAGCUAAUAUAUGUAGAAUUCUUACGUAUGUACAGCAUUUUUGUGAGAACGCAUGGAUGCAUGUCUUCGUGUCGGUGCACAAGUCUGUCUCAUAAGACGAUCUCGCGGGCGGAUCGAAACCGAACCCAAUGCAUCGCCAGACCGUGGCACACAGCAACGGUAAGACGGUAGCAGCAGUUUGUCCCACAGACAAAUGUGUCGUUUGCGGCAUGGACAGCACAGAACGACCCCACAGCGGACACGAAACCUGUGCUCGUAUGCCACCGCAUCCACCACCAUCAUCAUCACCACAACCGCCAUUGACGGCGGCGGCGGCGGCGGCGGCGGUCACGAUGACGACGACGACGACGACGACAACGGCGGCGCCGACGGUAGCGGUGACCGCAGCGGCGGCGGCGGUGACGAUGGCGAUCACGUCCCUGAGCAAAGAUGCCGCCGGCGGCACGGUCGUUGCCGCGAUGUCUCCGCCGCCCGGCAAGUACCAUCACCAUCAUCAUCCUCACCACCACCAUCACCACCAUCAUCACCACCAUCACCAUCACAACCCCAACAAACUGCAAGUGCAAGCACACCAGCAACAACAACAACAACAACAACAGCUAACGACUCAGCCAUCACCCACUUCUCAACAACAACAACAACAACAGCAACAACAACAACAACAACAGCAACAACAACAAUUACAACAACUACAACAGCAACAACAGCAACAACAAAUGCAGUUACGUUCGCAGCCUUCGGCUCAAUUGGCUGUGCAAAGUCCCAAACCACAAGAUCAGCAACCACAGAAUGAGCCGAGCGAGCAAUAUCAACAACAACAACAACAACAACAACCAUACCAUCACCAUCACCACCACCCAUAUCAUCAACAACAACAGCAACAGCAACAACAACAACAACAUGCUCAAAAACCGGUGCAACAGCAUGAUCAACAAAAACAACAACAGCAGCAAACACAACAGCAACCACAACCACAACAGCAACAGCAAACGGUCGCCCGUAAAGACGAGGCAAAGACGCCGGAAAGCCAAGCCGGGAUUAUCUGUACCGACGGCAGCGGAAGCGGGGGGACGACGGACUCGAGCGGAGGCUGUGGGACCAACGGCGGAAACGGUGGCAGCAACGGGACCGGAACUGGAGGUGUUAGUAUCGGUAUCAUCGGAGGAGGAGGAGGCGGAGGAGGAGGAAUUGGGAUCGGCGGCGGCGGCGGCGGUUCGGUGGGCGACGGGAGCAGGUCGUGCGCCGGAGAUCCCCGCCAAGUGACAAGAUUUGAUUUCGGAGAUUUCUAUCCCGAUGGCGGAUGGGGUUGGGUGGUUGUGGCCGCCGUCACAGUCGUCAACAUCUUAUGCUAUGGUUUUCAUUUGGCAUACGGAAUGUUAUUCAUGGAAGCCAAGAAGAAAUUUGGAAACAGCCAAGAGUUAGGUAAGUU